rnacentral:snRNA from 1 species
GGAUGUGAGGGUGAACUGGCUGCCACAUAUAUGUCACCCCAUUGAUCACCAGGGUUGAUUCAGUUGAUUCGUCUGAUCUGGCUGGCUAGACAGGUGUCGCCUUCCUCCCUCACCGCUCCAUGUACAUGUACGUGCCUCCCGAAGCUGCGUGCUAGGUUGUAGAGGAGGGCCUUCCUCAAGUAGAGACGGACCAGUCUUCUGUCGAGGGUACACGUAGCUGUGCUCCCCUUCUAGAACCUCCGAACAGGGACUUCAUAACUUUCAUAAAUAAACCUUGCACUUAGCUUUAAAAUCCCAGGUCCUACCCUG